CAUUAAUGUUUUGUAAUUACAUUAAAUUUGAAAAAAAAAAUAGUACCUUAUUUUUUAUCUUUAUAUAAUUUCGAAAAUACAAAAAUAGUUUUAUGUUCAAUUUAAUUAGUUAGGAUUAGUUUUUAUGUGGUGUAGUAUCUCUAUCCUAUUUUAGAAGUCCUUUGCUUUGUCCAGAGACCCUUUUAGACUCUUAUUUAGGACAAAGAGUAAAUAAAAAGACCCUAGGGGCUUAUAACACAAAAGGACCUAAAUGACUUAGGGACUAACUGACAAAUACAAAAAAUAAAAACCUAGACCUAAUACCCAUAAAUACACCCUAGACUCUUCAGCCGGAAAAGACCCAAAAAAAUACAAAAAAAAAUGGUACUUCAUAUCUUGAACACACCCUACGACCUUAGAGGUCAUCAUCUCCUUCUUCCUCCAAAAAAUACAACAAGACCACCCCUUUCUUCGGCAACCACCACGACGCCUCCGUCGUCCCCCAUCCAAACCAGCUUCCAGCUCCACACAGCAUCGUCCAUCACAUCCCAGGCACCCCAAUCCUCCGUCUCACAUAACACACGACCCCUUUCGUCGUCACAACAGCUAAGUCAAUCACCCAACGUGCACUAGAUGUCACGUCCCCAAACGAUCCCCUACUGUUAUGUCGACCAAUUGAGCCCUUCGGAACUCCUUGAACGAACCAGUCCACUCACCGUCAUGGAGUUUGUCGAUUUUGUUUUCCAGGUUUAGUUCAAAUUUUGCAGGCAGGUUCAAGGUUCAUGGCGAGGUCUUUAGUUUGGGUGUUGUUGAUAAGGUUUCAUUUGGGCAGAUUCAAAUUCUAUGUAUACAUUUGCUUUAUCAAAUCGUUGAGGAUUUGUCUUGAGUUUCAUGUCUGUUUCUAACCAUCUCUUCCCUUUUAAAGGUUUGAAUGUCUAAGUGAUUUUAUUUCAUUUAUAUGGGUUUAGUUUAUGAGGCAUAACUUCUACCUUGAUGUUCUCUUGUGUCUGUUGCUCACAUCAUAUUAGAGAUGUAUCUUUGGGGUGACUGUUGUGUUUAAUUUGAG
rnacentral:lncRNA from 1 species